CUCUUCUUGGAUGAGUUGCGAACGGGUGAGUAACGCGUAGGUAACCUGCCUGGUAGCGGGGGAUAACUAUUGGAAACGAUAGCUAAUACCGCAUGAAAUUGCUUAUCGCAUGAUAAUUAAUUGAAAGAUGCAAUUGCAUCACUACCAGAUGGACCUGCGUUGUAUUAGCUAGUUGGUGAGGUAACGGCUCACCAAGGCGACGAUACAUAGCCGACCUGAGAGGGUGAUCGGCCACACUGGGACUGAGACACGGCCCAGACUCCUACGGGAGGCAGCAGUAGGGAAUCUUCGGCAAUGGGGGGAACCCUGACCGAGCAACGCCGCGUGAGUGAAGAAGGUUUUCGGAUCGUAAAGCUCUGUUGUAAGAGAAGAACGGGUGUGAGAGUGGAAAGUUCACACUGUGACGGUAUCUUACCAGAAAGGGACGGCUAACUACGUGCCAGCAGCCGCGGUAAUACGUAGGUCCCGAGCGUUGUCCGGAUUUAUUGGGCGUAAAGCGAGCGCAGGCGGUUAGAUAAGUCUGAAGUUAAAGGCUGUGGCUUAACCAUAGUAUGCUUUGGAAACUGUUUAACUUGAGUGCAGAAGGGGAGAGUGGAAUUCCAUGUGUAGCGGUGAAAUGCGUAGAUAUAUGGAGGAACACCGGUGGCGAAAGCGGCUCUCUGGUCUGUAACUGACGCUGAGGCU
rnacentral:rRNA from 1 species